GCUGUUGGAGGGGAAUUGUGAAUCUACUUUCUUACACGGCUGCGUAGCACUGUGCAGCGGUAAUCCCCUGAGCAGGGUGAAGCGGAGGCCUAGCUACCAUGACCUCCUCUGUAGGUUUCCAUGGAUACCAUGUACUAUAAAUAAAAAAAGGAAUUUCAAACCAGUUUUCAAUCCCGCUUAGUGGGAAUAGGAAACCUCUUUUGAAUUUAGUUUCCUAUCUCACCUUACAGGGGUUAUUUUGCAGCCCGUUUGAAACAAAUAAUUACCCCUUCAGCCAGGAAAUUACCACCAAUCAUAGCGAUUUACUUCCAAACACUCGGCUAAUUAGCGCGAUGAGGAGAGCGCCUGUUUGCGGGCGGGAGAUGGGGCUGAGCCGCCGGGCUGCGAUGGAGCCGGCAAAAAGGACGGGGCCAGGGGUCAGCGAGGGGCGGCGGAGACAGAACAAAUAAUGCCGGGCACGGCAGAGCUGCAAAACUGGAACCGCCGCGACGCCGCGAGAAUGAGCGUGCGAGGAGCACGGCGAAAAGGGGAAUAUUACAUCUGCAUCCUUUUGCAAUGAAUCAGAGUCACGCUGCAGAUUUUGUCUGGCAUACUGGGUCUCUGGAGGAUAGAAAAUAAUUUGGUCGCAGCAGUGGGAGGUGUGUGUGCGUGGAGAAGGGAGUUGCUUUCCAACAGCCUGCUGUGCUGAUUUUCCAUUACCAGCAGGAGGAGAACAGCAAAAGUUUCGUAAGGGAAGGGAAACUCCCAGAAAGAAACCAAGGGUUCACAUUGAAUGUGGAAAUUCCUGGAAAUGUGACCAGCUGCAAUCAGGAGCCGCAUCAACACAGACGAUGCUGGGAGCUGUGAGGGAAGCAUUCUCUCCAAAUCCUGGUGAAUCAGAAAUAACAUCUAAUGCUGCCCUUAAGGUUUUGUGUUCAGCCAGGAAACAAGUGGGAGCUGGAAAGGUGGACAGACUCAAUCAUUUCAUUCUGCAUCGUGUCAAACUACCACUUACCUUACCAGAUAUUUUGUGGAAGCCCUGCUGGUCUCAGCCCGUAGGUUUGAGGCUGUAGACAAUGUGCUAAAGUAAAGUUGUUUGAGCUUAUGGAA